rnacentral:rRNA from 1 species
CCUACGGGGGGCUGCAGUGGGGAAUAUUGGACAAUGGGGGCAACCCUGAUCCAGCCAUGCCGCGUGUGUGAAGAAGGCCCUCGGGUUGUAAAGCACUUUCAGUGAGGAAGAACGCCUGGUGGUUAAUACCCAUCAGGAAAGACAUCACUCACAGAAGAAGCACCGGCUAACUCCGUGCCAGCAGCCGCGGUAAUACGGAGGGUGCGAGCGUUAAUCGGAAUUACUGGGCGUAAAGCGCGCGUAGGUGGCUUGAUAAGCCGGUUGUGAAAGCCCCGGGCUCAACCUGGGAACGGCAUCCGGAACUGUCAAGCUAGAGUGCAGGAGAGGAAGGUAGAAUUCCCGGUGUAGCGGUGAAAUGCGUAGAGAUCGGGAGGAAUACCAGUGGCGAAGGCGGCCCUCUGGACUGACACUGACACUGAGGUGCGAAAGCGUGGGUAGCAAACAGGAUUAGAUACCCGUGUAGUC